GUCAAUGGCCAUGCCAGCCUGAAUGCACCUGAUCUCAUCUGAUCUCAGAAGCUAAGCAGGAUUGGGCCUGGUUAGUACUUGGAUGGGAGGAAUUCCACUUCAGUUAGGCCCCAUCCGCUAGCCAGGCCAGGGCUGAGG
rnacentral:rRNA from 1 species